UACGUAGGUGGCGAGCGUUAUCCGGAAUGAUUGGGCGUAAAGGGUGCGUAGGCGGUGUAGCAAGUUAGAAGUGAAAUACCUAGAGCUUAACUCAGGUGCUGCUUCUAAAACUGCUAUACUUGAGUGCAGUAGAGGAAAGUGGAAUUCCUAGUGUAGCGGUGGAAUGCGUAGAUAUUAGGAGGAACAUCAGUGGCGAAGGCGACUUUCUGGACUGUAACUGACGCUGAGGCACGAAAGUGUGGGGAGCAAACAGG
rnacentral:rRNA from 1 species